GUAAGCUCUACUGGAAUAAAUUGGCAGAAAAUAGCUUUGUUGUUUCUUCUGUGACCGUUAAAAGAGGUUCCUGGUGAGUGGCGAAGCACGACUGGGUGUAUAUAGCUUAGCACAGCUCCCCACCAGCUAACGUUAUCUUUCGUUAGCUGUUAGCUAGUUUAGCGGUUUAGCUCAUGUUAUUCUAACAGGCUACAACUGUGGUGUUUUCAUUUUAUUUUCCCUAGUUGACGUUAUCUGCUCAUCUGGUUAUCGUGAGCACUCGUUUUGGGUUAAAGUGGAAGUGCCCGGAGCUGCCACCCGUGGUCCCGCGGCCCCCCGGCCUGCCCUCCGGGGCCCUGGACGUGUGCUCAAGUGUCUGGGAGAGGAGCGGAGAGGAGCACGGAGGUCAGGCGGGGCGGGCCGACACUGUGUAUCCCAGAACGGGUGCUGAAGUGUCGGUGAGACCAGCAGAGAGGAGCGCGGAGGUGAAAUAGUGAAGUUUAAGGAUGCCUUCAGCUGCCAGGAGAAGCGGACUGGCCGUCAGAUAUUGUUUGUGGAAAUUUGAAAAUAAAGUUUGUCAAAUUGA